rnacentral:lncRNA from 1 species
AGCUGUCCCACACAGCUGGGUCUGGAAUUUAAUAAUAUUUCCCCUAUUUAAGAGGAAAAAGGCAGAUUUCCAAUGAAUUCACAAAGUUAAAAAUAUUUGCUCUACUCAUCUCUCAUUUUUUCCUAUUUAGGAACUGAUAAACUUUGCCCUGAUUCCACUCAGCUCUUCAGGGGCAAACACAGUUCAGCUGAAAUUGCAAGCCAAGGAAGGUGCCUGUGACUAUACUUGGAUCCAAGCCAUGGUCACUCAUUUCCUACCCUGGUGUUUUAGCUACAUCCUUCCUGCAGUCAGUCUGUGCCUGAGGUUCCCAAGCAUUUGCCAAAGCUUUAUUGAAGUUGAUUUUUGCAUAUGUAGACAAGAAAUGCAGGACUUCCCAAGAAGAAUUUAGGAGUGUUACUUGAGUGAAGAAAAUACCAAGGUGAAUCCCCAAGGUGAAAAAAACAUGGAGGAACUUUCAAGCUUUCUCCUGUUUCCCUUUUAUUCUGUAUUUUGUUUUGCAUGGACUUGCUAAUCUUGUGCAUCUGCCUGCUCACCUCUCCUGUGCUUUAGAUUUCUGCUUCGUUUGCCUUGGUCAUUCUCCUCCAGAGAAACCAUUCACUCACUAAAUCUCCUUCUAUUCCAAAUUUUCCUUCGAUGUUUCUUUUGUUUCCCUAAUUUCCUGUAAGGGAUUAUGGUCUACCUCUGAAAUUGUGACUGUAUGAUAUGAAAGACUGCUUUUAAAUAAGAUCCAAAGGUAUUUCUCUUCCUGCAGAUGUUUGGUUUGAAGGAUGGCCUGGGAAGAAAAGAGUUUCCUUUGCAUCAUGUUAGCAUGCAGCCACUUGAAGUAUUUGCUAUAACUUCCUCGUUCCUUGUUAGUGCAACUAAAACGUGAUGUUACUGCAGGAGUCACCUGCAAUGAUCUGAGCCUACACGAGGUGGCAGUACCGGUAUCCCACUGGUUCGUUCUCUUGGGUUAACUGGUUUCCAAAAAAUCUCCCUGUAAAUUAAUUGAUUCAUGUCAGAAGUGGGCAAGCUUGCAAACAAGUCCAUCUGGUAAGCAGCUUACUAUAUUUCUAUAUAAAUAAAGGAGAUCAUCCAACUUUUCCA